AAACACUGCUCAAGUGCAGGGUGCUUGCUCAGUCUGCUGAUGGCAGCUGUCAUCUGUGGCUGUCCCUUGUCUGGAAAUAGGUUCAAAGAGUCAAAACUUGAUUAAAGCUUGUCUCCUUUCUCGCCUAUAAAUAUCCUCACCACUCUACAAGCACAGGAGGAGGUAGCUGAUGUGUAAGCACUUGGGAAGAGGCACAAAGAGAUGAAAUGAUUUUCCAAAGGACAUUGUGGUAGACCUGGAAGCAGAACCCACUGAUCUGAACCACAGCUUGGGGUCUGAACAGAAAAGAUUUCCCCCUUCUGUUAUAAAA